rnacentral:misc_RNA from 1 species
AAGUCGUAACAAGGUCUCCGUAGGUGAACCUGCGGAGGGAUCAUUACUGAGUGAGGGCGCAAGCCCGACCUCCAACCCCAUGUAUACCGUACCAUGUUGCCUCGGGGGCGACCCGGCCUUCGCGUCGGGGCCCCCGGCGGACCCCUCAAACUCUGCAUCUCUGCGUCUGAGUAAUGAAUUGAAUCAAUCAAAACUUUCAACAACGGAUCUCUUGGUUCUG